rnacentral:rRNA from 1 species
UUAAGCGACUAAGCGUACACGGUGGAUGCCCUGGCAGUCAGAGGCGAUGAAGGACGUGCUAAUCUGCGAAAAGCGUCGGUAAGGUGAUAUGAACCGUUACAGCCGGCGAUGUCCGAAUGGGGAAACCCAGUGUGAUUCGUCACACUAUCGUUAACUGAAUACAUAGGUUAACGAGGCGAACCGGGGGAACUGAAACAUCUAAGUACCCCGAGGAAAAGAAAUCAACCGAGAUUCCCCCAGUAGCGGCGAGCGAACGGGGAGCAGCCCAGAGUCUGAAUCAGCUUGUGUGUUAGUGGAACGGUCUGGAAAGUCCGACGGUACAGGGUGAUAGUCCCGUACACCAAAAUGCACAGGUUGUGAACUCGAAGAGUAGGGCGGGACACGUGGUAUCCUGUCUGAAUAUGGGGGGACCAUCCUCCAAGGCUAAAUACUCCUGACUGACCGAUAGUGAACCAGUACCGUGAGGGAAAGGCGAAAAGAACCCCGGCGAGGGGAGUGAAAAAGAACCUGAAACCGUGUACGUACAAGCAGUGGGAGCACCUUCGGGUGUGACUGCGUACCUUUUGUAUAAUGGGUCAGCGACUUAUAUUCUGUAGCAAGGUUAACCGUAUAGGGGAGCCGCAGGGAAACCGAGUCUUAACUGGGCGUUAAGUUGCAGGGUAUAGACCCGAAACCCGGUGAUCUAGCCAUGGGCAGGUUGAAGGUUGGGUAACACUAACUGGAGGACCGAACCGACUAAUGUUGAAAAAUUAGCGGAUGACUUGUGGCUGGGGGUGAAAGGCCAAUCAAACCGGGAGAUAGCUGGUUCUCCCCGAAAGCUAUUUAGGUAGCGCCUCGUGAACUCAUCUUCGGGGGUAGAGCACUGUUUCGGCUAGGGGGUCAUCCCGACUUACCAACCCGAUGCAAACUACGAAUACCGAAGAAUGUUAUCACGGGAGACACACGGCGGGUGCUAACGUCCGUCGUGAAGAGGGAAACAACCCAGACCGCCAGCUAAGGUCCCAAAGUCAUGGUUAAGUGGGAAACGAUGUGGGAAGGCACAGACAGCCAGGAUGUUGGCUUAGAAGCAGCCAUCAUUUAAAGAAAGCGUAAUAGCUCACUGGUCGAGUCGGCCUGCGCGGAAGAUGUAACGGGGCUAAACCAUGCACCGAAGCUGCGGCAGCGACACUAUGUGUUGUUGGGUAGGGGAGCGUUCUGUAAGCCUGCGAAGGUGUGCUGUGAGGCAUGCUGGAGGUAUCAGAAGUGCGAAUGCUGACAUAAGUAACGAUAAAGCGGGUGAAAAGCCCGCUCGCCGGAAGACCAAGGGUUCCUGUCCAACGUUAAUCGGGGCAGGGUGAGUCGACCCCUAAGGCGAGGCCGAAAGGCGUAGUCGAUGGGAAACAGGUUAAUAUUCCUGUACUUGGUGUUACUGCGAAGGGGGGACGGAGAAGGCUAUGUUAGCCGGGCGACGGUUGUCCCGGUUUAAGCAUGUAGGCUGAUUGUCCAGGCAAAUCCGGAUAAUCAAGGCUGAGGUGUGAUGACGAGGCACUACGGUGCUGAAGUAACAAAUGCCCUGCUUCCAGGAAAAGCCUCUAAGCAUCAGGUAACAUUAAAUCGUACCCCAAACCGACACAGGUGGUCAGGUAGAGAAUACCAAGGCGCUUGAGAGAACUCGGGUGAAGGAACUAGGCAAAAUGGUGCCGUAACUUCGGGAGAAGGCACGCUGGUGUGUAGGUGAAGUCCCUGCGGAUGGAGCUGAGACCAGUCGAAGAUACCAGCUGGCUGCAACUGUUUAUUAAAAACACAGCACUGUGCAAACACGAAAGUGGACGUAUACGGUGUGACGCCUGCCCGGUGCCGGAAGGUUAAUUGAUGGGGUUAUCCGUAAGGAGAAGCUCUUGAUCGAAGCCCCGGUAAACGGCGGCCGUAACUAUAACGGUCCUAAGGUAGCGAAAUUCCUUGUCGGGUAAGUUCCGACCUGCACGAAUGGCGUAAUGAUGGCCAGGCUGUCUCCACCCGAGACUCAGUGAAAUUGAACUCGCUGUGAAGAUGCAGUGUACCCGCGGCAAGACGGAAAGACCCCGUGAACCUUUACUAUAGCUUGACACUGAACAUUGAGCCUUGAUGUGUAGGAUAGGUGGGAGGCUUUGAAGCGUGGACGCCAGUCUGCGUGGAGCCAACCUUGAAAUACCACCCUUUAAUGUUUGAUGUUCUAACGUUGGCCCCUGACCGGGGUUGCGGACAGUGUCUGGUGGGUAGUUUGACUGGGGCGGUCUCCUCCCAAAGCGUAACGGAGGAGCACGAAGGUUAGCUAAUCCUGGUCGGACAUCAGGAGGUUAGUGCAAUGGCAUAAGCUAGCUUGACUGCGAGCGUGACGGCGCGAGCAGGUGCGAAAGCAGGUCAUAGUGAUCCGGUGGUUCUGAAUGGAAGGGCCAUCGCUCAACGGAUAAAAGGUACUCCGGGGAUAACAGGCUGAUACCGCCCAAGAGUUCAUAUCGACGGCGGUGUUUGGCACCUCGAUGUCGGCUCAUCACAUCCUGGGGCUGAAGUAGGUCCCAAGGGUAUGGCUGUUCGCCAUUUAAAGUGGUACGCGAGCUGGGUUUAGAACGUCGUGAGACAGUUCGGUCCCUAUCUGCCGUGGGCGCUGGAGAAUUGAGGGGGGCUGCUCCUAGUACGAGAGGACCGGAGUGGACGCAUCACUGGUGUUCGGGUUGUCAUGCCAAUGGCACUGCCCGGUAGCUAAAUGCGGAAGAGAUAAGUGCUGAAAGCAUCUAAGCACGAAACUUGCCCCGAGAUGAGUUCUCCCUGAGACUUUAAGUCUCCUGAAGGAACGUUGAAGACGACGACGUUGAUAGGCCGGGUGUGUAAGCGCAGCGAUGCGUUGAGCUAACCGGUACUAAUGAACCGUGAGGCUUAACCUU